GAAGAACAAAAACUUUGUAUGGUGAAAAAGAAAAUGGAGAGGAAGAGCUGUGCUACUGAGAAAGCAGCCCCUUGAAGGCUCUAGAAACUGCAGUUUUCCUGGAAGGAUGCAGACAGAGAGGGAUGUGCGGUUGGAGCCCACUUCUCUCCACUGCCUGGACAGGGAGCCAGAAGUGGGACAGUCCUGGUCAUGUGAAGCAAAAGAUGUCCAAGUGGCAGCACGGGGUGAGUUAUUAGGGCUGUGUUAUGACAUCAGUUCCUAAGGGGAGUGACGGGGCUCUCAUUCUUGUCCUGAGAACGAGCAGUGUGGGAUGUUUCCCAUCUAUCAGACCCUGACACGCCAGGGGAACUCGAUGUGUGUGAU